CAGCCGCCGCGGUAAAACGUAGGGUGCAAGCGUUAAUCGGAAUUACUGGGCGUAAAGCGUGCGCAGGCGGUUAUAUAAGACAGAUGUGAAAUCCCCGGGCUCAACCCGGGAACUGCAUUUGUGACUGUAUAGCUAGAGUACGGCAGAGGGGGAUGGAAUUCCGCGUGUAGCAGUGAAAUGCGUAGAUAUGCGGAGGAACACCGAUGGCGAAGGCAAUCCCCUGGGCCUGUACUGACGCUCAUGCACGAAAGCGUGGGGAGCAAACAGGAUUAGAUACCCGAGUAGUCCCUGUCUCUUAUAC
rnacentral:rRNA from 1 species